rnacentral:rRNA from 1 species
GACGAACGCUGGCGGCGUGCUUAACACAUGCCAGUCGAACGGAAAGGCCCUGCUUUUGUGGGGUGCUCGAGUGGCGAACGGGUGAGUAACACGUGAGUAACCUGCCCUUGACUUUGGGAUAACUUCAGGAAACUGGGGCUAAUACCGGAUAGGAGCUCCUGCUGCAUGGUGGGGGUUGGAAAGUUUCGGCGGUUGGGGAUGGACUCGCGGCUUAUCAGCUUGUUGGUGGGGUAGUGGCUUACCAAGGCUUUGACGGGUAGCCGGCCUGAGAGGGUGACCGGGCACAUUGGGACUAAGGGACGGCCCAGAAUCCUACGGGAGGCAGUAGUGGGGAAUAUUGCAGAAUGGGCGGAAGCCUGAUGCAGCAAUGCCGGGUGCGGGAUGACGGCCUUCGGGUUGUAAACCGCUUUCGCCUGUGACGUAGCGUUAGUGACGGUAAUGGGUAAAGAAGCACCGGCUAACUACGUG